AACACUAUCUUGUUCAACUUUCCUAACGGACUAACCUGGGUUCAUCGACCUGGUCAAAUUGAAACUUCUGAUCUAUUUUCAGGCGAAACUUUUGAUUGGCCAGACCUGUUGAAACUUGGCAACUCAUCAGCUGAUCUUCCAAGUAAAAACUUUAAGUGCCUGCAAGUUCCUGCGAACGAGAGGAAUCACAGUGACCCUGAACCUUGCAUUGUGGCUACAAGAUCACAGCCAACGGAUAUAAGUCCCCUGCCAAUUGAUUAAAUACCCUGAGGAUUAAAAUAAAGUCAAUACAAAAACUCCAGAAAGAUUUUUCUUUUCUGUGAGAGGGAAGUUCUGUGAACACCUGAAGGAAUGAUGUUGAUUUGCUUUUCUUUGAAUUAAUAAAAUGGGAGCGUAGACUUAUAAAGACAGCAAAGAAGAUACGCUGGAAACAAGUUUCACCAUGGAUAUGCACCUACAGGCACUCACACAGAUGACUGGACUUGCGUUCAUUUUUAAAAACAAGAGGAGUAACUCAUCCACAGAAAAUGUAUUUGCAUACUAGGA